UGAUUAUUUUUAUCGUGUGAUUAUUGAUGCCUGAAUCUGCUCCUGGCAGCAGGAUCUUAAAACCUGCUAUGUGACUUUGGGCAACACUGGCACCGCACACAGACAAGGAUUUCCUGGGUAGAAUUGGCUGGAAUUUGGUUUGAAGGCAGAGGACAAGGGAGGAAUGAAAACAAAGCCUUUUGUGAAAGUUGGGAUGAUGCUGGGAGUGGAGGUAACAACAUAUCCCAAACACUGGAAGGUCAGGGAUGGAUUACCAAAGCACAUGCCCGGACUCUCCUCCUUUGGCUGUUUACUCCUCUCUAAUUUAGGCAGGAUUUGAUUCCACGGAGUUCCACCAGGAUCUAUAUUUGGACAGCAUUAGGUUUGGAAAGCUCUGUGAGGAUAAGUUUGCAAUUUUGGAGAGUUAUAUUUGGAAGAAGUAUUAGAUACACUAAACAAUCCUGCAUAUAUCAUGGCGCUAUGAAACUUUACGCAAGAGUUUAUAUCAAAGACAUGUCGGCUAAUGGAGGCUUACAAGUAAAAGGGAGACUCAGCAGCAACAGGAUGCAGUGUGAUGGAUCUUCAGGCUUUUAACCACAAGGAAUCACAGUCUCAAUGUCUGCCCCCUCCACAAAAACACUUCAUCAACAAACCAUAGAUUUCAGCAUGAAAACAACCGUUUGGCUGAAUCAGCAGACCUUUACCGUAAGUGCCACUUUAGACAAACUUCACUUGUAACACAACUGAAGCACAA